UUUGUUUGGCUUUAGAAACUAGAAGGUAAAAUAAAGAGAGAGGAAAAAAAAAAAAGUGGGACCCACGUAAAUAUUUUAACUAACCCCUCCGCUGCUAAGAAACGAAACCGGUGAGAUGACGGAGAAGUAAAUCUACAUUUCCCUACUACACCUUCUCUCACUUACGCCUCACUCUCUUAGCAGAAACCACCGCAUCUACACGUGGACUCCAGAUCGUAACCGCUUUUGCCGCCGUUGCGAUUUCUUCCGUUCCGUUUCCAGAAAUCGC
rnacentral:lncRNA from 1 species